rnacentral:rRNA from 1 species
AUGUCCGAGCGUCUGUCGGACUUCGAGCUUCGCCCUAGCCAUUGCCUUGAAGCAGAAUCGCUUACAAAGAUGACGGCGCUGAUGAUGUCUGACGUGAGAGGGAAACUGAGGGUGUCUUCCUUGCCCAACCUGAGGAGCACGUCAAGCAGGUCCUCGUUGUCUCUAGCGGUAGCAGCAUCAGAAGCACCAUUCGGUACUUUGGUCUCCUUGCGAUCUUGGAUGAUGUCUCCUAGGAUGCUCUGCAUCCGGGAAUGGAGCCUCCUCAUGGCGCGGCCGGAGCUGCUCAGCCACCGCACCAGCCGGGACGACGGGAAAAGGUCCACCAAGCUGAACCCUCCCCCGAGAACCGCCAUUACGUCGAGCUCCCGGAGGUAG